rnacentral:rRNA from 1 species
CCUACGGGUGGCAGCAGUGGGGAAUAUUGGGCAAUGGGCGCAAGCCUGAACCAGCAACGCCGCGUGAAGGAAGAAGGCUUUCGGGUUGUAAACUUCUUUUGUCAGGGAAGAGUAGAAGACGGUACCUGACGAAUAAGCCACGGCUAACUACUGGCCAGCAGCUGCGGUAAUACGUAGGUGGCAAGCGUUGUGCGGAUUUACUGGGUGUAAAGGGCGUGUAGCCGGGUUGACAAGUCAGAUGUGAAAUCCUGCGGCUUAACCGCAGAACUGCAUUUGAAACUGUUGAUCUUGAGUACAGGGGAGGCAGACGGAAUGCCUAGUGUAGCGGUGAAAUGCGUAGAUAUUAGGAGGAACACCAGUGGCGAAGGCGGUCUGCUGGACAGCAACUGACGGUGAGGCGCGAAAGCGUGGGGAGCAAACAGGAUUAGAUACCCUUGUAGUC